GGCUAAACCCUAAGUAAUCAUUCUACGAUGCACGACAAUACUCUUACCCGACUAACCAUCUACUGUAAUAUGCAUCCUCCAUAUCCCCCUAUACUUCUUCCGCCAUUCAUGCCUAAUCACCUCACCCUAAUACUUCUUCGGUCUAUCUCUACCCCUCUUCGUACCUACAAUAUCCAACCUCUCACACCUCCUUACUGGGCAUCUGAACCUCGUCUCAUCCUAUGUCCAAACUAUCUCAAUCUCACUUCCCUUAUCUUAUUUAUCACUGAGGUUACUCCCGCCUCAUCUCGAAUAACCUCAUUCCCGAUUCUAUCACAUCUAGUAUGACUAUGCAUACAUAUCAAUAAUAUCCUCAUAUCUGCAACAUGCAUCUUUUGAACAUGGGAGUUUUUGAUUAGCUAAAACAUCAUCCCAUAUAGUAAUGUUGGACUAACUAUCA
rnacentral:lncRNA from 1 species